rnacentral:rRNA from 1 species
AUUGAACGCUGGCGGCAGGCCUAACACAUGCAAGUCGAACGAGUGGCGGACGGGUGAGUAAUGUCUGGGAAACUGCCUGAGGGAGGGGGAUAACUACUGGAAACGGUAGCUAAUACCGCAUACCAUCAGAAGUGCCCAGAUGGGAUGAGCUAGUGGGUGGGGUAACGGCUCACCAAGGCGACGAGCCCUCGCUGGUCUGAGAGGAUGACCAGCCACACUGGAACUGAGACACGGUCCAGACUCCUACGUGAGGCAGCAGUGGGGAAUAUUGCACAAUGGGCGCAAGCCUGAUGCAGCCAUGCCGCGUGUAUGAAGAAGGCCUUCGGGUUGUAAAGUACUUUCAGCGGGGAGGCGUUACCCGCAGAAGAAGCACCGGCUAACGCCGUGCCAGCCGCCGCGGUAAUAC